rnacentral:rRNA from 1 species
GUGGCAGCCGCCGCGGUAAUACGUAGGGUGCAAGCGUUAUCCGGAAUUAUUGGGCGUAAAGAGCUCGUAGGCGGUUUGUCGCGUCUGUCGUGAAAGUCCGGGACUCAACUCCGGAUCUGCGGUGGGUACGGGCAGACUAGAGUGAUGUAGGGGAGACUGGAAUUCCUGGUGUAGCGGUGGAAUGCGCAGAUAUCAGGAGGAACACCGAUGGCGAAGGCAGGUCUCUGGGCAUUAACUGACGCUGAGGAGCGAAAGCAUGGGGAGCGAACAGGAUUAGAUACCCUGAUAGUCCACGCCCUAA